rnacentral:lncRNA from 1 species
GAUCAGUAUCCCGAUCGUUACUAUAAGAUUCAUUUCUGUAACUAUUAAGUAUGCAACCCGGUAUACGUUCACUCGCAUAGAGUGUAAUCUAAACUUGAGCCCAUUAUAAUUAUUUUGGUUGGUAGUAUGGUUAGUGAAUUUUACAUUUAUUCGUUGGCUCAUGGGUAAAUGACAAUUUCCGCCUGUUGACAGGACGGAAAGAAAGUGAAAGUUGAUGGUUACUUGAUCUUCGGUAGCCGUCUGCAAAUGAUGUGAUUUUCCAGCGACCGGUGUCUAGCCAUUUUAUUUUAUUUAGAAAAUAAUUAUUUAGUUGAAAAGGAAUGCAUUUAAGUUGGAAAGAAGUUUAUUUUAUGGUAUAAAUUAUGGUGAGAGUGCUGUUUUAGUUCCAAUAUCGGAGGAUUCUGGACAUUGGUCGCUGGAGAAUAGAAGAUUUAGUCAACAGAAAUAAGAAUAAUUUUUGGGAAAGAGUGGGAAAUUUUGGGACAUAUUUGGAAGUUUUGAUUUUAUUGGAAUCUUGGUUUUUAUGGAAUUUAUUUUUUGGAAUUCGCCGGUACUGAGAGGUAUCUCCAGUUGGUAACAAGGAUACACCUCCCUCCUAGGUUGAGGAACACCGCAAGCUACCUUCCUUGGGCCUCUGAUCAUUCCCUGGAAAGAGUUGGAGAACCCAUGGUCACUUGGUAGACCGGACAGGUUUUUAUAAGUCAAUUUGAUUGUAAUUUGUUUUAAUAAUAUUUGCACUUUUACCUAUUUUUUUUUUGUAUCAAUAACUUAAUAAUCCUAAUAAUAGUAUACCUUCAUUUUCUUAAACAUAAUUAAACUAAACAAUAAUUUUUCAAAAAUUUUAUAUUUCAAGGUUAGCUCAUUUAUUUUAAAAUAGUAGGGGGGAUUAUAAACUAUCUGUAAAGAUAGUGUGCACAUUAUCUCAGUUUGAAUCCUUAUCGAAACUUUGAUUUCAUUGUCAGGUAUUAUACUUACGUUUAUCACCUCCGAACAGAUACGAUAUUGUCAGCCAAUAUUGGCUUCUUCAUUAACAACAAAUUUGUACAUACAUUUUUACAUUAAUUAACUUUCAUAUAUAAACCAUUCUUUUCAUAUUUUUCACAUAUUGUAAAAACCUGUGUUAUCAACAGGAGUGUCAUAGCUUAGUACGUCCGGUUUAGCUAGUGUAUAAAAAUUGUAUAUAGGGGUUAUAGGUUUGUUUCAUUAAAUUUGUUAGUUGUACCUAAA